rnacentral:lncRNA from 1 species
CUGGCUCUUUAAAUACCCUGAAAGUCACUUCAGCCAGAGAGGGAGGGGCUUACAGCUAUGAGGGGAAUACAACAACAAUGGCUGCCCUUCUCUGUUUGCAUUCCUAAGAUCAGAAGCAGUCAUCAGUGAUCAGAGCACAGAUCCCUGAUAUUUGAAGGUCAGGGCCCAAUUUGUGCCCACCUUGGCUUCUGCAAGCUACGUGCAAGCUGCCCUAGGAACACAUGCAGAACUGCCUGCCAAAGUGCCUGGGGUAGGGAAGUAGGUGGGGGUUACUGUGCCAAGAGCUGAAAUUGGCCAUAGUUAACUGCAAUUGGUCAUCCAAGCCUUCUCCUGAAAGUUGAAGACCCUCAACAGACUCCAGAGUUCCAAAUCAGUUGGAUUAGACAGCUUCUGCCAGUGAAACUGUUGUCUAGGAAACUUUAUUUCCUACUUCUGCACGCCAAGUUUCUACCUCCAGAUCUGUUUGGUUCAGUUGCUGAGAAGCCUGACACACCAGUGCCACUUAAAAGAAGCCAUCUACCGAGUCUGAAGAUGCAAACCCUUGAAGGCCUUUGAAAUGGAAUAGCCCAACAGUUCAAAUUCCAGCUCAGCCAUUACUUGCAUUGUGAGUCUGGGAAAAAAAUUAUUUAAUUCAUCCAUGCUUCUAUUCCUUCACUUUUAAAAUGUAUAUUUAUCUCACAAAACUGUUGUUAAGGAUUACAUUAAUUAACAUAUGAAGAGUAUUUAGCAUAGCACAUGGAGCCUAAUGAACAGUCAAUUAAUCACUAUAGUGUUAAUUCUUUAGGUGGAUACAUUUUUUCCUCAAGUUUGACCAGAAGUAUUAUUUAGUUUCUGCUCAUUUAAAGAAUCUAGUUCAGUGCUGUGAAAUUCAAAAUCUGUGAAAUGUAUCAAUCACAAGAGAAAGUGAAAAAUAAGGCGUGUACACAGAUUAAAAACAAAUCCAGUCACUGCCAGGAAAAAAAUAAACAUUCUUGAAAACAAUUCUAAUGUUGUUAA